UUCGCGGCGCCACCGUUACCCUUGAGUCGUGUUCCUCCCUUAUCCAUCCCAACCCAAAGAUAUAUGUGGACGCCACUCUGGAGCGCGUGUCCAAAUUAAUUCUCCCAGCAAGAGCAUCAUCCUCCCUGGUCACCGCAGCGCGGUCUGGGGCUAUACGAUUCUCUGGCUCCUGGUUGUUGCGAAUCGCAGAUUCUGCAAAGAAGAGGGUUGACUGUAUUCCGGCCUUCCGGGAGUUCGAAAAUUCUUGGUUUCUUGAUGUGGAUACUGCUACCUUGCAAUGACAACGGGUGGCAAGAAGGGAAUUCUCUGAGGCUGUGAGCACAUGGUUGCCAGAGGUGCGUCCGCCCCCGUUCUGUAGCCCGGAAGAUGUGGUCUCCGUUGCAUGACCUUUAAUGAGUUGCUACGUGGUCAGCUCUAGCGGCGUUGCGGUCUGGUUCGCCGUAGAGGAGAGGAUCGGGCACCGGAGGGUUUGCGCAUGCAAGAUGUUCGAUGUCGGUCCCCAGAGGAGGAGGGUGGGGAGGCGCCUGGUGGGUUUUGCCAAGAAGAGGAGGCGUUCCAAGAGGCAGCAGCCAUGGUGGAAGGCGUGGUUCUCUGAUUGGAACGAUGAGGAAGAGAGCCUCGCCGGCUGGAGGGAGGAUGAUGAAUUGCUCCAGCAGGUUGUUAGCAACGAAGACCUGUCGGAGGAUGACAAGUUUCAGACAUGGAAGAGCAAGGCCGAGGCGAUUGUCGACCUGCGGGAAGCCCAGCAGGAUGCCGAAAAUGCAGAAGGGCGGUCAUGGGAGGAUUGGAUAGGUUGGGGCAGCACAUCCGGCGAUGGUGACUGGGGCGGGGGUGGGAGCUUGUCGGACCAGAUAACUGAUGAUCCGACGGAGAUAGUGAGGGACAAGGGCAUCGCUGAAGCUUUUAGGGACUCUAUUGAUGAAGAUUACAACGACAUGUUGUUUGAGGACCGGGUUUUUCUAUACGCUUCGACGAAAUCGGCCAAAUUCCUAGCAUUGUUGAUCGUUGUUCCAUGGGUGUUGGAUCUUCUAGUACAUGACUAUGUUAUGAUGCCAUUUCUAGACAGGUAUGUCGAGAAGGUACCACUCGCCGCUGAAAUGCUUGAUGUAAGACGCAGCCAGAAGAUUCAGAUGAUAAAGGACCUAAAUAUUGAGAAAGCAAGAUUCCGUUUUGAAGUAGAGAUCGGUAAAUCUCCUCCACUUUCUGAUGAGGAGUUCUGGUCAGAGUUGCGGGAAAAAGCGGUAGAGCUGAGGGAUGAAUGGAGAUUAGAAAACCGACAAGCAUUUGCAAAUAUCUGGUCUGAUAUGGUUUAUGGGGUUGCCCUAUUCCUUCUUAUGUACUUUAACCAGAGUAAAGUUGCAAUGAUAAAGUUCACAGGAUAUAAGUUGCUAAACAAUAUCUCGGACAGUGGGAAGGCUUUUCUUAUCAUUUUAGUGUCAGAUAUCCUUCUAGGGUACCAUUCGGAGGCAGGUUGGCAUUCAUUGGUGGAAAUUAUUCUUGACCACUAUGGACUGGAAACAGAUCAAGCUGCAGUCACCUUUUUCGUUUGUCUGGUUCCAGUUGCCCUGGACGUAUUUAUAAAGUUUUGGGUGUACAAAUACCUUCCAAGACUAUCACCUAGUGUGGGAAACAUCUUGGAUGAAAUAAGGCGUCACUAGGAAUUCUUUCCAUCAGGAAUUUUGGUUCCUUCCUUUAGGAAAUUGCUAGUAGAAUUUCACAAUCCAGUUUUCUCCGUGCUCAUCAUCUAUGAAUCCAUCUCCAAUUGUGAAGAUUGGGCUACCCAAUGACUUGCCCCGUUCAAAGGGCCUCAGGACUACAAGGAGUCUGAAGCAUGCACGAACAAGGACACCAAGAUGGAAAUGACAGAGGCAACCAACCAAGGAACCGAUAAUAAGCGGCGGGGCCAACCAAAGAAGCAAGGCAUUUUCGAUCGGAACCACAAGCACCCGCAAUCUUAGCAUCCGUUCGAUUAGCAUAUUAGACACGAUUUAGACACCCAUCUAGUAUCCUUGAAAAAAAAGACACCCAUCUAGACUGUCGACCCCCAACUUGACGAAUACCUUUUGUGCUCCAUCAUUAUAAAUCCUUCGUGAAAUGAUUCCAGACAAGCAUGAUUAGAGUUGCUACUCACCACACGAGGGCCUGGAUCUGAGUAAAAUAUGUGCCCCAUG